AAGGCGAUUCCAUAGACGAGUAUGGAUUUGGUGCACAGUUUUACUCGACUUUGUGACUAGAUACACACUCGUCUACGGCAGCCCAUU
rfam:Trichomalopsis sarcophagae strain Alberta scaffold1059, whole genome shotgun sequence.